CGCGGCCUAUCAGCUUGUUGGUGGGGUAACGGCCUACCAAGGCGAUGACGGGUAGCCGGCCUGAGAGGGCGACCGGCCGCACUGGGACUGAGACACGGCCCAGACUCCUGCGGGAGGCAGCAGUGGGGAAUAUUGCACAAUGGGCGGAAGCCUGAUGCAGCGACGCCGCGUGGGGGAUGACGGCCUUCGGGUUGUAAACCCCUUUCGCCCGGGACGAAGCGAGAGUGACGGUACCGGGAGAAGAAGCACCGGCUAACUACGUGCCAGCAGCCGCGGUAAUACGUAGGGUGCAAGCGUUGUCCGGAAUUACUGGGCGUAAAGAGCUCGUAGGUGGUUUGUCGCGUCGUCUGUGAAAUCCCGGGGCUUAACUUCGGGCGUGCAGGCGAUACGGGCAUAACUUGAGUGCUGUAGGGGAGACUGGAAUUCCUGGUGUAGCGGUGAAAUGCGCAGAUAUCAGGAGGAACACCGAUGGCGAAGGCAGGUCUCUGGGCAGUUACUGACGCUGAGGAGCGAAAGCAUGGGUAGCGAACAGGAUUAGAUACCCUGGUAGUCCACGCCGUAAACGGUGGGCGCUAGGUGUGGGAUGCUGUUCACGUGUCCCGUGCCGUAGCUAACGCAUUAAGCGCCCCGCCUGGGGAGUACGG
rnacentral:rRNA from 1 species